USCGGGCAGCUACACAUGCAAGUCGAACGGUAACAGRAAGCAGCUUGCUGYUUYGCUGACGAGUGGCGGACGGGUGAGUAAUGUCUGGGAAACUGCCUGAUGGAGGGGGAUAACUACUGGAAACGGUAGCUAAUACCGCAUAACGUCGCAAGACCAAAGAGGGGGACCUUCGGGCCUCUUGCCAUCGGAUGUGCCCAGAUGGGAUUAGCUAGUAGGUGGGGUAAAGGCUCACCUAGGCGACGAUCCCUAGCUGGUCUGAGAGGAUGACCAGCCACACUGGAACUGAGACACGGUCCAGACUCCUACGGGAGGCAGCAGUGGGGAAUAUUGCACAAUGGGCGCAAGCCUGAUGCAGCCAUGCCGCGUGUAUGAAGAAGGCCUUCGGGUUGUAAAGUACUUUCAGCGGGGAGGAAGGGAGUAAAGUUAAUACCUUUGCUCAUUGACGUUACCCGCAGAAGAAGCACCGGCUAACUCCGUGCCAGCAGCCGCGGUAAUACGGAGGGUGCAAGCGUUAAUCGGAAUUACUGGGCGUAAAGCGCACGCAGGCGGUUUGUUAAGUCAGAUGUGAAAUCCCCGGGCUCAACCUGGGAACUGCAUCUGAUACUGGCAAGCUUGAGUCUCGUAGAGGGGGGUAGAAUUCCAGUGUAGCGGUGAAAUGCGUAGAGAUCUGGAGGAAUACCGGUGGCGAAGCGGCCCCCUGGACGAGACUGACGCUCAGUGCGAAAGCGUGAGAGCAACAGAUAGAWACCUGGUAGUCCMCGCCGUAACGAUKUUCGACUKGGAGGUKGKKGCCCUKGRRGGCSGUKGCC
rnacentral:rRNA from 1 species